CAGCCAUGUGUUGAACCCAAAGCGAACUAUUCUUUCGCCUUUUACUAAAGAAUACCGUGUGUUCGUCGCUAUAAUGGCAAACGCCUAUUUUUGAAGGGUAUUAGUUCAUUGAAGACCC